rnacentral:rRNA from 1 species
UACAGAGGUCCCGAGCGUUGUUCGGAUUUAUUGGGCGUAAAGGGUGCGUAGGCGGCGGGGUAAGUUGGGUGUGAAAUCCCGGGGCUCAACCUCGGAAUUGCAUUCAAUACUGCUUCGCUCGAGUACUGGAGAGGAGGCUGGAAUUUACGGUGUAGCAGUGAAAUGCGUAGAUAUCGUAAGGAAGGCCGGUGGCGAAAGCGAGCCUCUGGACAGUUACUGACGCUGAUGCACGAAGGCCAGGGGAGCAAACGGG